UGACAUGUCAAGCAGGGCAGAUCCAUUUUCUGCCACCGAAUACAUUAGCAUGGGAUAAUGGAAUAGGACCCUGUCCUCCUAUUUUCAGUUGGUUUUGGCAGCGCGAGGACUAGGGUAAUGAUUAAUAGGGAUAGUUGGGGGCAUUAAUAUUUAAUUGUCAGAGGUGAAAUUCUUGGAUUUAUGAAAGAUUAACUUCUGCGAAAGCAUCUGCCAAGGAUGUUUUCAUUAAUCAAGAACGAAAGUUAGGGGAUCGAAGACGAUCAGAUACCGUCGUAGUCUUAACCAUAAACGAUGCCGACCAGCGAUUAGGAGACGUUGAAUACAAAACACCACCAUCGGCGCGGUCGUCCUUGGCGUCUCGGUUUCGGCCGGGGCGCGGGGACGGCUUAGCCCGGUGGCACCGGUGAAUGACUCCCUAGCACUUUGUGAAGAAUGGC
rnacentral:rRNA from 1 species